ensembl:lncRNA
AUUGGUUUGCAUUUCUUCCACCAGACUCAUUUCCUUCUUUCCCAGCAGUUAGUUCUGUCAUUCCUUGAAGUCCAAUGUUCCAACACGUGAGAAUAGGUGCAAUAAGGGUACACUAUUUUCUUUGUUUGUCAAUUUGCUUUAAACGAGAUGUAUUAUUGCCUUCCUCAUGCAGAGGAAUUCACUUUGACUUCAUUAUCAAACUCCCUCCAUGCUCAUGGCAUUAUGUGCACCAUUUCCCAGGUGUGUGGAGCAUACUGUCGCUCUUUUCCUCCAAGACUUGAAGGAGGAUUUGGAAGAAAAGGCUUCUUUUGUGCCAUUUGACUACAAUUUAUACAGUGUCUCAGCUGAAGACCAUCACUGUCUUGAGAACUUUGAGGACCAUUCAAGACUACCAUGGAACUGGAUGUUCAUGCCGGACAGACACCCAGCACCAACCAGAUCACUGCACUGGGCGGCAAAGGUGCCAACAGGGUUAAUUUUUGGAGGUGACAAAAGGCCUGAAGCCAAAACUGUCAGUGAGAUGACUGCUUCCAAGGCAGCCAUGGCACCUUGUCAUCUGGACCCCAACCACCACAUUGAGCAGCAAAGCAAAUACUGCUUAAGGGAUCCCUCCCUGUUCAUCGAGCAAAUUCUUGUCAGCUGCUGAGCAAAACCAGAAAGGUAUAAUGAUGCUAGAGGUGCCACAAGCUCUCUCCCCGUCUGCAUGAGGGAAUCUUGCCUUUAAAUCCAGCCUUGCACCAGUGAGUUCCCUGCCUGAUAUUGCUAGACGCUGCUCCUUAAUGAGACCAAUGAGUAUGUUUUAUGUGGUAAUCUGCUGGCUCUGGCAAUUGUACAGACAUCAAGACUACAAAAGAGUCACUUCAAUGAAAUGAGAUGCCAGUGAGAAAGCCACUCUGCCACAGGGACGAAGACUUUGCAAAUAAACACUUCUGGGGAACUCUCUCUCCUUAAAUAAAACACUUAUAGAGCACUCAGAUGUUGGUUUAGCACUUAAUGACUGUGGGAGAAAAUAAAACAUGAAGAGCUGCAUUUGGUUUGGUGCUUUUUUUCUCUUCUUGAUCUCAUAUAUUUGAUAUGUACGGAGUAUAGGAAAUCCAUAUAUAUAUGUAUGUAUGUACGUGUGCCAAGAUAUUUAUUGGCCCAUGGGGGAUGGAGGUAGAGAGGUGACCCUGCCAAAAGUGUGUUCUGCAUCUCCAGGAGACACAGCAAGUGGCAAUAAGCCUUUCUUACCUCCAUUAUUUCCAAUCUGGUUCCUUAAUGGGGAAUAAAACCCCCCAAGUCUUUGUGAUGAG